UACGGAGGGUGCAAACGUUGCUCGGAAUUAUUGGGCGUAAAGCGCACGUAGGUGGUCUGCUAUGUCGGGUGUGAAAUCCCUCGGCUUAACCGAGGAAGUGCAUUCGAAACUGGCAGGCUAGAGUACUGAAGAGGGUCGCGGAAUUCCCGGUGUAGAGGUGAAAUUCGUAGAUAUCGGGAGGAAUACCAGUGGCGAAGGCGGCGACCUGGACGGACAUUGACGCUGAGACGCGAAAGCGUGGGGAGCAAACAGG
rnacentral:rRNA from 1 species